rnacentral:lncRNA from 1 species
CAAAUUUAUUAAUUAUAUAACCGUUUUAAUCACAUAUUUUAUACCUGGUUAAUUUUCUAUGACUUUAAACCACAAUAAACUCUAUAUAUCCUAUUUCUUCUCUUCUUAACAUGAUAAUUAAGCAUCAGAAUUGAAAUGUAAAGUGAAACUACAUUUAAUUUUGGAUUAAUUGCAUACAGAUCCCUGCAAAUAUAGUGAAUUGUAAAUAUAUAUAUUUUUAUAAAGUUCAACUUUCAUAAGUUAUUCCUACAAAAGUUUUAAUGUUUUCAGAUUUGUCCUUCUAGUUUAUUACAACCGUUAGAAAACUGUUUAUAUUUUUAAUUUUGCCAUCACAAAUAUGUUAAUCCAAAAAUUAUAACAAUAUAAUAUAAAAGGAGUAAAAAUGUCAAAAAGUAACCCGAGUAGUAUUUAACCUAUAGUUAACUAAACUUUUCUAACGGAUUCUAACGGUAAGGACAUAUCUGAAAACAUUAGAACUUUUGUAGAAAUAACUUAUGAAAGUUAAACUUUACAGAAAUAUAUUUGCAAUUCACUAUAUUUGCGGGGACCUGUAUGAAAUU